CGGUUAAGUUAGAAAGGGCGCACGGUGGAUGCCUUGGCACUAGGAGCCGAUGAAGGACGGGACGAACACCGAUAUGCUUCGGGGAGCUGUAAGCAAGCUUUGAUCCGGAGAUUUCCGAAUGGGGAAACCCACCACUCGUAAUGGAGUGGUAUCCAUAUCUGAAUACAUAGGAUAUGAGAAGGCAGACCCGGGGAACUGAAACAUCUAAGUACCCGGAGGAAGAGAAAGCAAAUGCGAUUCCCUGAGUAGCGGCGAGCGAAACGGGACCAGCCCAAACCAAGAGGCUUGCCUCUUGGGGUUGUAGGACACUCUGUACGGAGUUACAAAGGAACGAGGUAGAUGAAGAGGUCUGGAAAGGCCCGCCAUAGGAGGUAACAGCCCUGUAGUCAAAACUUCGUUCUCUCCUGAGUGGAUCCUGAGUACGGCGGAACACGUGAAAUUCCGUCGGAAUCCGGGAGGACCAUCUCCCAAGGCUAAAUACUCCCUAGUGACCGAUAGUGAACCAGUACCGUGAGGGAAAGGUGAAAAGCACCCCGGAAGGGGAGUGAAAGAGAUCCUGAAACCGUGUGCCUACAAGUAGUCAGAGCCCGUUAACGGGUGAUGGCGUGCCUUUUGUAGAAUGAACCGGCGAGUUACGAUCCCGUGCAAGGUUAAGCAGAAGAUGCGGAGCCGCAGCGAAAGCGAGUCUGAAUAGGGCGAAUUGAGUACGUGGUCGUAGACCCGAAACCAGGUGAUCUACCCAUGUCCAGGGUGAAGUUCAGGUAACACUGAAUGGAGGCCCGAACCCACGCACGUUGAAAAGUGCGGGGAUGAGGUGUGGGUAGGGGUGAAAUGCCAAUCGAACCUGGAGAUAGCUGGUUCUCUCCGAAAUAGCUUUAGGGCUAGCCUCAAGGUAAGAGUCUCGGAGGUAGAGCACUGAUUGGACUAGGGGCCCCUACCGGGUUACCGAAUUCAGUCAAACUCCGAAUGCCGAUGACUUAUCCUUGGGAGUCAGACUGCGAGUGAUAAGAUCCGUAGUCGAAAGGGAAACAGCCCAGACCGCCAGCUAAGGUCCCAAAGUAUACGUUAAGUGGAAAAGGAUGUGGAGUUGCUUAGACAACCAGGAUGUUGGCUUAGAAGCAGCCACCAUUUAAAGAGUGCGUAAUAGCUCACUGGUCGAGUGACUCUGCGCCGAAAAUGUACCGGGGCUAAACGUAUCACCGAAGCUGCGGACUGUUCUUCGAACAGUGGUAGGAGAGCGUUCUAAGGGCUGUGAAGCAAGACCGGAAGGACUUGUGGAGCGCUUAGAAGUGAGAAUGCCGGUAUGAGUAGCGAAAGAGGGGUGAGAAUCCCCUCCACCGAAUGCCUAAGGUUUCCUGAGGAAGGCUCGUCCGCUCAGGGUUAGUCGGGACCUAAGCCGAGGCCGAAAGGCGUAGGCGAUGGAUAACAGGUUGAUAUUCCUGUACCACCUCCUCACCAUUUGAGCAAUGGGGGGACGCAGGAGGAUAGGGUAAGCGCGGUAUUGGAUAUCCGCGUCCAAGCAGUUAGGCUGGGAAAUAGGCAAAUCCGUUUCCCGUGAAGGCUGAGCUGUGAUGGCGAGCGAAUUAUAGUAGCGAAGUUCCUGAUUCCACACUGCCAAGAAAAGCCUCUAGCGAGGUGAGAGGUGCCCGUACCGCAAACCGACACAGGUAGGCGAGGAGAGAAUCCUAAGGUGAUCGAGAGAACUCUCGUUAAGGAACUCGGCAAAAUGACCCCGUAACUUCGGGAGAAGGGGUGCUCUGUUAGGGUGCAAGCCCGAGAGAGCCGCAGUGAAUAGGCCCAGGCGACUGUUUAGCAAAAACACAGGUCUCUGCGAAGCCGUAAGGCGAAGUAUAGGGGCUGACGCCUGCCCGGUGCUGGAAGGUUAAGAGGAGCGCUUAGCGUAAGCGAAGGUGCGAAUUGAAGCCCCAGUAAACGGCGGCCGUAACUAUAACGGUCCUAAGGUAGCGAAAUUCCUUGUCGGGUAAGUUCCGACCCGCACGAAAGGCGCAACGAUCUGGGCACUGUCUCAACGAGAGACUCGGUGAAAUUAUAGUACCUGUGAAGAUGCAGGUUACCCGCGACAGGACGGAAAGACCCCGUGGAGCUUUACUGCAGCCUGAUAUUGAAUGUUGGUACAGCUUGUACAGGAUAGGUAGGAGCCUUGGAAACCGGAGCGCCAGCUUCGGUGGAGGCAUCGGUGGGAUACUACCCUGGCUGUAUUGACCUUCUAACCCGCCGCCCUUAUCGGGCGGGGAGACAGUGUCAGGUGGGCAGUUUGACUGGGGCGGUCGCCUCCUAAAAGGUAACGGAGGCGCCCAAAGGUUCCCUCAGAAUGGUUGGAAAUCAUUCGCAGAGUGUAAAGGCACAAGGGAGCUUGACUGCAAGACCUACAAGUCGAGCAGGGACGAAAGUCGGGCUUAGUGAUCCGGUGGUUCCGCAUGGAAGGGCCAUCGCUCAACGGAUAAAAGCUACCCCGGGGAUAACAGGCUUAUCUCCCCCAAGAGUCCACAUCGACGGGGAGGUUUGGCACCUCGAUGUCGGCUCAUCGCAUCCUGGGGCUGUAGUCGGUCCCAAGGGUUGGGCUGUUCGCCCAUUAAAGCGGUACGCGAGCUGGGUUCAGAACGUCGUGAGACAGUUCGGUCCCUAUCCGUCGCGGGCGCAGGAAAUUUGAGAGGAGCUGUCCUUAGUACGAGAGGACCGGGAUGGACGCACCGCUGGUGUACCAGUUGUUCUGCCAAGGGCAUCGCUGGGUAGCUAUGUGCGGACGGGAUAAGUGCUGAAAGCAUCUAAGCAUGAAGCCCCCCUCAAGAUGAGAUUUCCCAUUCCGCAAGGAAGUAAGAUCCCUGAAAGAUGAUCAGGUUGAUAGGUCUGAGGUGGAAGUGUGGCGACACAUGGAGCUGACAGAUACUAAUCGAUCGAGGACUUAACCAAUUU
rnacentral:rRNA from 1 species